GCUUGCUGGAGGCCGCUUUGGCUCCUUCCAGCCAGGCUGAGCCUUUCCGGGAGGGUGAUCGCAAAGAGGCCUGGGCUGAUGGCAGGCAAGAAACCCUGUCAAGUUCAUGGACUCCUAUUUCCUAGGUCAAGGGCGAGGGGCCCCUGGUGUGGCUUAGGCUGGGCCACUUGGAUCUGGAUCUACCUGGGCAAGUCUGAUGGACGGACUGCCGAGGCCAACAUGUGGUCCAGGGGCCCAGCGCUUCUGUCCAGCGCGGGACCCUUCUGCUAGUCGUCUGUGCUCCAGAACCCCAGCGAGCAGCUCCUGGGCUUCAGGCCCAGCACAGAGCCCAACGAGACCUGAGAUGAGACCAAGAGUCAGACUCCCAACUGACCGAGCCACCGGGCGCUCCUGAAGCUUUAAUUUUAGGACGAGCAAACUUUUGAAAUGAGUGAACUGAUUUCAGAGUCUUCUAGUGGAGAGUGUGUCGUUAGAGGUAGGGGGCUACCAGGAUGGGUCCCCUGGGAAGACCUUCCAGUGGGGUGGGGGCGUCUGAGUUGAGAUGUGAAUGCCAGGGUAGAGCCAGCUGAGUAGACGUAGGGCAGGAUGGCAAGGGUGAAGGCAUGGAGUUAGGACAGGGUCAGUGAGUCCAGAGAACAGAAGCACCACGGUAGCUUGAGCCGAGUGAGGAAAUGCCCCCAGAGUGGUUAGCAGGGCUCCGAGUGUCAUGCUCAGUGUAGGCUUUCACUGUCAAAGCCUCGGGAAGUUGUGGGAGACUUUUAAACUAGGAAGUGACUUGAUCCGAUUUAUAAAGACCCUCUGUUGUCAAGGGUUUGCUGCAAAUUAGUGUGGGGAAAAAGGGGAAGUGGGUCGUGGUAUAGUUACAACAAGACUGGCCGUGGGUUGGUAAGUACUGAGGUGAGGCGAUAGCUGGGGCUGGGGGAUAUUAUACCCUCGUUUGUUCUGUGCGUGCUUGAAAACGGCUAUUACAAAAUACACGAGAGAAGUCUUUAAACUGCAAAAGAAACAAACUGGGGAAAGUACCCUCUAAAUGGCAAAUGGGCAUACCAGACAACUAGGGACAGCUUUGCCCCAGAGCCCUCUGAAGUUUAUUCCGAGUAGCCAAUCCUAAGCCUGCUUCCCCUGCCUUGUCCAUUCCUUCCUGUGGGAAAAACCACAAUAAAGGCUCUUACCCACAGUCCCCUGUCUCUGCC
rnacentral:lncRNA from 1 species